GACGUAGGGGGCCAGCGUUGUUCGGAAUCACUGGGCGUAAAGGGCUCGUAGGCGGCCAACUAAGUCAUACGUGAAAUCCCUCGGCUUAACCGGGGAACUGCGUCUGAUACUGGAUGGCUUGAGGUUGGGAGAGGGAUGCGGAAUUCCAGGUGUAGCGGUGAAGAGCGUAGAUAUCUGGAGGAACACCGAUGGCGAAGGCAGAUCUCUGGGCCGUAACUGACGCUGAGGAGCGAAAGCAUGGGGAGCGAAACAGGG
rnacentral:rRNA from 1 species